UACGUAGGGGGCUAGCGUUGUCCGGAAUCAUUGGGCGUAAAGCGCGUGUAGGCGGUCCGGUAAGUCCGCUGUGAAAGUCGGGGGCUCAACCCUCGAAUGCCGGUGGAUACUGUCGGGCUAGAGUGCGGAAGAGGCGAGUGGAAUUCCUGGUGUAGCGGUGAAAUGCGCAGAUAUCAGGAGGAACACCAAUUGCGAAGGCAGCUCGCUGGGACGUUACUGACGCUGGGACGCGAAAGCGUGGGGAGCAAACAGG
rnacentral:rRNA from 1 species